GUGAUUCAUUAUGGAGGUGG
rnacentral:misc_RNA from 1 species